AGCUUUGCACAGUGGCAGUGUCAUAGCCAAUGAGGUUUAUCAAAGGUGUGAUUAUUGCUAAUUGAAAACUUUUCCCAGGCCGGGUGCGGUGGCUCAAGCCUGUAAUCCCAGCACUUUGGGAGGCCGAGGC
rnacentral:snRNA from 1 species